UCCGGCCUACCGGAUGUUGAGUGAGGAGUAAAAACAAUUGAAUCACGAAUACAAUAAGCUAACAUUUCGAAUUAUGGCACACACCACUGUAUCUGAACGUUGGCGAAAACAUCAAUGUUAUGUGCAAUGCAUUAUUUAUAAAUAUUGAUAUUUGUCGGGUUUGGACUAAAACACGGUAUGUUGACAUUAGCUUGCUAGUAGCUUUCAUCAUGUCGCCAGCUAUCUAACUGGUGGUUCGAGGACAAGUUUGCACUAACACAUUUUUGGGGUACCUGGAUACGAUAGUGGCCGUUACCUGGCUAGAUUGUGGUGGAAGAGGAGAUGCGUGGUUUGAACAAAAGCUGGAUGAUCGUUCUUGCCUGGGCUGCUAUUGGAGGAUCUACGUUGAACAUUUACAUUUUCCUCAUCAGUCCCGCCAGAGAGCCUGCCUAAAAAUAAAGACACCAUCUGAAGAGAAGAUCAGCAAGGAGGUGGACAACUGCCAUAACAUGCCCCCUAUGAAGGAGCCCUUACAAAGACCCCAACUACAGAGAGAAAGUAGAAGCCAACAGAACAAAGUGGUGGCUGAACCCUCUGACACACGGUCACUACCAGGUACCCCUGUUUUGGCUGUCCUUCCUAAUCCCGGAGAGGUAAACUCUGGUGGCAUUAAUCACAGAAGAAAGAGCACAAAGAUGCAGGCAAACAUGGAGAAAAUGCAUGUUAAUUCACCUGCUACUGGUCAUGCUAGAACUCAAUGUGAAAGUGCCAAUCCUGAAGUGCAGUUAUCACUUACUGGGAGUGAGCAAACAUUGAACUGUAUCACAAAGGAGCUGGUGGGUGUAACAAGGCCAGCAGCGGUAGACGUUGUUAGGAAACGUGGUCGCCCUCACAAGAAGGCAAAGAUGCUGCAUACUGUGCUACAAACAGUGGAGAGUUCUCAUCUGAACACUGCAGAAUCAAAGGAUUGGAGUGAAACAAUGUCUGACAGAGCGAAUGCUAUUUCUUUUACUACAAACUGUGUAGAGAACAGGGAUGACACAUCUCUCAGAGCUAUUAAAACAAAAGCAAUAUCUCUAAACUGUGAACCAAGCAAUACAGCGGUGUCUGUUCUUGACUCGUCCCCCCAAGACCAUCAACCAGCUGAAUCCAGCCCUGUGGCAAUCUCACCCUUGGAACCAAAAAGGAAAAGGGGGCGACCAAAAGGGUCGACCAAGAAACAACCAGGAAAAACCAUGAACACUAUUUCAGUGCAACAAUCCCAUGUAACAGAAGAAAACAUUGUAAUUAAAAAGGAACCUGAUGAGAUGCUAUCUGAAGAGGAAAGGAGAGGAAACAUUGGUCCUCAGCUUGAUAAAGCUCCUGUUGAGCCUAAACACAGAGUAGGACGACCACCAAAGAAAACAACACUCGUGAGGCAGUUUGCAUUAGCACAGAGAAAAUCACAGAGAAAAUCAUGUUCUAUUACAGCAUCUGUGAAUUCCCAGGAUAUUCCACCUCAACAUCAGAAUAUUGAGACUGAGCGUUCACUAGAUUAUAUUGCAAGGCAUGUGUCUGUGUCACUUAGUCGCGUUGAUUCUCAGCGAGGUGGGACUGCUGACAUGGUCUCUAAUGUGAAGUGUGAGGAUAUUGAAAUAGAGCUGGGUGAUUUUAAUUCCCUGGCACAGUCAAAUUGUCUCAUGUCUUUUCAAUGCCACACUGACACCAGUGUGAAGGUUGAGUCCUGUAAUACUAGUUGUGAAGGCACUGAGUUCAAAAAGCCACUCAAAGUCGACAAACCAGGAGAGACUGCUGGCACUGCAACCAGAAAGCGAUCCCGGUUCGUUUUUGGAAAAACUAAAUACAAAAAAGGAAAGAGGAAAAGGUUCAUUGAUGAUAGAGGUAGACUCCAACGUGUGACCUCACAGGGAGAUCCAGACACCAUGUCAAAGCAGGCCGAUGAAGGCAGUGGUGAUGUUGGAGAGGAGAUGGACUGUGGCGAGUCAGCUUGGGAGUAUGAGGGUAACACAAAUGACAGCUUCUCAAAUGGAAGUAAGUCAACAGAUGAAGGAUUUAAAGAUUUGCCUGAGAGUCACCAAAAUCCUAUCAUCACUGAUGUAAACAUAUUAGAAACUAUGUCGCAUGAGUCCUUUUUAAAAUCAGAUGUCGUACAAGGUGAAGAAUUCACAAGGGAAAAAAUCAAGGAAGAGAGAGAUGGUGUAGGCGAUGAAACUGAAUAUAACCCAACAAGCAGUUGUGGCCUGAAGGCUAGGGGGAGACCAAAAGGCACAGGGAAAACUUGUGAGUACUGCGGUCGCCAUUUUGAUUUUGUGUCUGUAUAUACCGUCCAUCUACGCACUCAUACAGGCGAAAGGCCCUAUAAGUGCAUUGAUUGUGACCAAGACUUUGCCCAGCUAUCUAACUUAAAAAGUCAUGUCAAGAAACAUAACAAGCGCUGUCGGCCUCUGAAGUGUCCUUAUUGCAAAAUGAAGUUCAGUAAUUCAAAGGAAUUGCUUGCUCAUUGCAAGUGGCACUCGCAGAACCCGAACCAGGACUCUGAGUCUGGGAGUAAAACGAAGGAUAACAGAAAUGAGGCCACUCAUACACCCCUUGUUUCUCUGAAAGAAAGGAGAAAAAGGGGAAAGGGGGGGAUACUCAAAUGCCACAUUUGUGGGAAAGUAUUUCCCUUUUGGUCUGGUCUGCAGGUUCAUAUACGUAUGCACACUGGGGAAAAACCAUAUAUCUGUAAAGUAUGUGGGAAAGCCUUUAGUAAUCGCUCAUCAAUUCGUAUUCAUGAGGUGACCCACUGGUCCAUUAAGCCUUACAACUGCACACGGUGUGGGAAGAGUUUCACUCAGUUGUCGUCUGCAAAAAAACAUCCCUGCAAGGGUCUGAGGGAGAGUAAUGACAGAGAGGGCCGGAAGAAGCCUUUCAUAUCUUUUACAUGCCACAUCUGCGAAGAGAGAUUUGUUCAGAGGCGUCAGUACAAAACCCAUCUGAAAACCCAUGCUGGUGUGAAGCUCUUUCGCUGUUUAUUCUGUGACCAGCUGUUUAGUGUGAUGUCAGAAUUUGAAGAGCACCACCAAUAUUGCACCAAAGUUAGGGGGGAGAAGAUGACAUCCAAAUCGGAAUUUAGGAUUUGGAAACCUAGAGCCCCUAAUCAGCAAAGAUCGCAGCAACCAAGUGUCAAGAGUCAUUCACCAGUCACCCAAUUAGUAUUUCCUGCAGCUGCUGAUAGUCAACCAUUUCAGAACCUUGGACAGUCUUCAGCUUCCUCUGUCUCGUUGUUGAACUGUGAACCUACCCCACAGCAAAAAUCAAGUGGUCAUCAGUCUUCACAAACACAUCCCAAUAAAGCCAUUGCUACAACUCUGCGCCCCUUCCAAACAUGCAUUAUACCCACAAAUAAUCUCACCUCCCUUGUAUCAAAGUUGAAUAGUCUAGAUCGUAAAUCUGACCCGAGGAAGUACUUCUGCCCACGUUGUGGAAGACUUUUCAGACACACAGGGAGACUCCGAGCCCACAUGCUAACUCAUGCCCACAGUCAGAGCUACACCUGUGACUGCUGUGGAAAGACCCUGGAAAGCUGGAAAAAGCUUUGGCUUCACCAGCGAGUCCACAGACAGAAACUAGGACGGUUCUCAUGUCCAAAGUGUCGCCAAGGUUUCCGCUUCGUUGGGCCCUACAAGCAGCACAUGCUGCGAGAACACCCUGAGUACCAGUGGAUCGAUGAGAGACCAAACAAAACUCUCCAAGGACUUGACCAGCAGCAGUGCCUGCCUUAUCAAUGUGAGGAGUGCAACGCCAGCUUCAGGACACUAGAUAUGCUUUUCAAUCAUCAGCUUUGCCAUUCCUCACCAGGUGACCACAGUAUGUGGAUACAGGACGACUGCUAUGAUUACUCUCCCUCGACACAUGAACAUGGUGUAUCUUCUAAUGUGAAUGGAUUUGACCCUCACAUGAACAGUAGCGUAACACACUCCCAUCAGGAACUCCACCAUACCUACUACCCUUCUCCGCCUCUACAAGCAAACCACCCACGAGGUUCACAUCUCCUUCAUUACUUUUCCAAUCCUUCAGACCUACGACAUUCACUGUCACCCCUUAUACCUGUGCCUCCCCCAAUGCAACACCCAGGUUUCCAACCAGGCCUCCAGUCUUAUGACUCCACCCAGCCGCUCACAAGCCCUCUAUCGCCACUGUACUCACAGGUAAAGACCAUUCCAUACCAUAACAGAAAAGAUGCGAAUGUAAAUAGGAAGCGGAGUAGAAUUUAUGGGAAUGCGACUAAACGUGCUGCUAGAUCCAAGGAGGACAAGGCGACAAUGGGGGGGUUGGAUUGUGCGGAGUGUGGUGUUCAGUUUCCUGCUGUCUCACAACUCUAUGAGCAUUAUUUGCAGCAUGCAAGGGGAGAGGUGUAAGAAGUGAAAAUGAGGAACCUUUUUCUAUCACAAACGCACGUUAUCCCCCAUCUCUUUCUCAGAGGUUUACCUCUAUCAGUUUAGAAAUUACUCAUACGUCAACCAACAGUGGCAUUUUUAACACAUAAGAGGUUGUUGUAUUGAUGUGUUUGAGUGAAUAUUCUGUUGAAUGGAGAUUGUUACUCUGGUUGCUUGUUGGUCAUUAGGGAAGCUGAUUACUUUUGGUUGUUAUUUGAAUUACUUACACUAUGAUCAAUUUUAAAUUGACAGUAUUUUAUUUUUUGUUGGCGAGUGUCCCUUAAUCUGAAAAGAUGGUCAGUGCUUUUAUACACUUCAGUAGUUUUAGCAGGUUUUGAGACGAGGACAGAUCAUGGCCUGCAAUCUAUUUUUCAAUGGAAGUUUGAGUGUAAAUUACAAUGCUUGAUCAUGGAACAUUAAGAGGUAUGACAAUGUCAUUGUUAACCUCUUCCUGUCAGACUCUGAUUCUCAACUGAUGAUUUAUGUCAUUUAGGCAACCAAUACAAGUGAUUAACAUCUAUUUUAAUUCUGUCCAUUUAUUUAAAAGAAAAUUAUAAACCUCAUGUUUUGCAUGUUAGUCAUUUAUUCUGUGGUUGUGUUCAUUUGUAACUUAUGCAAAAAUAAUAUUUUCACGGCCAGGACUCUAGUCUUUUUAACUAAUAGGCCAACAUUCCCUCAUGUUUACAGAAAGUUAUUUUGUUUAGAAAAGCAGUUCUUGUUCUGUUGCUGAUGAACUGACAGCUGUUUACAUACUGUAUAUUUUACUUUCCAUUUUCACUCUGUUAUUAAUGUGUCAGACAAAUAAAAGCCACCUUUCUAA